rnacentral:lncRNA from 1 species
AACAGUCCCCCAGCGCCGGACGCGCCGCGCCCUGGCGGCUCUAGGGACCCCCCCCGCGCCUGCACUUAGCCCCGCGCCCGAGUCCACAGACAAACGAAUUUAAAGGAGCAACCGAGGAGGCACCUGCGAAAGAAAGCCCACACACAGGUGAAUUUAAAGGAGCAGCCCUGGUGUCACCUAUCAGUAAAAGGUGUUGGAGCGGGCCGGAGAGAAGUAGAGUGGGCUGCGAGGAGAAGGAAACAGGCCUUUCGGAGGCUCCUCAUCCCUCGGAGGUCAUCCCUUACUCCAGGUGAUCUGAACCUGAAGUCCGAGGCCCCAAGAGUUCUAAGUAACCCAGGGGUGGAGGUGGGGUGGGGGAUCCCAGCUCUUUCCGAUCUGGGAGAUCAGAAAGAUGCUCAUCUGGGAGAGUGGGACCUCCCCUUUCAGUCCGCCCACCCCCGAGGACCGCACUUGGAGGGCCGCACUUGGAGGACCGCGCCUCCAAGGCGGGCGCGGCUGACGCCCGGGGCCCAGGCCAUGUGGGGCGUGCGUGCCGGGAGAAGUGUCCCAGCGCCUCACCCCGCAAGCAUGAGAACCACGAAACCCCCGGGGCCGGGAAACCGGGGCGGGGCGGGGCGGGGCGGGGCCGGGAAGCGGCGCGGGGCUGGGCCGGUGACGUCGCGGCCCCGCCCCCGGCCGGCUCCCUCCUCCCGGAGCGCUCCCCAGCGGAGUCCUCACCUGCAGGCACAGGUGUGCGCACUUCGCAUCUCGAAGGCCGGCCAGCAAGCUUCAGACGGAGGCUCACUCUGUUGCUGGCACGAUCUCGGCUCACUGCAACCUCUGCCUCCCGGGUUCAAGAAAUUCUCCUGCCUCGGCCUCCCUAGUAGCUGGGAUUACAGGCAUGCACCACCACGCCCGGCUAAUUUUUGUGUGUUUUUAGUAGAGACAGGGUUUCGGCUGGUCUCCAAACUCUGACCUCAGGUGAUCCGCCCUCCUCGGCCUCCCAAAGUGCUGGGAUUACAGGCGUGAGCCACCGCACCCGGCCCUAUAAUUCUUUUUAUUAUUAUCAUUAUUAUCAUUGGUGCCUUUUCUUUGUUGUAAAACUGUAUGCCGAUUGACUAUUUGGCAAAUGUAGAAAAGUAGGAAAGAAAUCAUCCAUAGUACCAGGACACAAUCACUCUGGAUAUUUUGGUGUGUUUCCUUUCAGUCUUUUUUCCAUGCACAACCAUUUUCAUAUAAUUUUAUCAUACUGUAUCUGCAACUUUUAUGUCCUGCUUUUCCCUUGAAUAUUGUGUCAUAAGCAUU